rnacentral:lncRNA from 1 species
CAUGUGCUUACUUAGAAAACUCAAGAUAAGCAUGAGGAUUUGAUCCAAUAUAUGCAUCUCUUGUGGGGGCAACAAAAUCUUAUUGUGCUUCACAGCUUUCUCCAUUGAAUUGAGACACAAGACAAGUUGAAUUUUACCACUAUACUGUAUAAACUGCUCACUUUGAAAGACCUGUAAAGACAGCCCCCAGCUUUCAAAAAAAAAAAAUGGAAAGCUUGGAUCACCUUAAUUAAUAGUUUCGCCAGUACAUUGUAUCGGGCAACACAUUGUUUACCAUGUACUAACACUCUUUGCUUCAACUGCUUGUUUUUCUUUCUUAGUGGCAACAUGGUGUUAGGAUCAGCAAGUGCGUACCUCGACUAUUCCACCAGGUACAUCCAACCAGGACAACGCAAAGCAGUGUACAAGGAUUGAUUUGGCAAGAUAACACUUGCUCUACCACUAUUCUCAUCCUCAUUUAACAGUCAAUACAUGACAAAAGUAAGUUUCUCUAUGUAGGUCUUCAUUGAGAUUUCUUACUUUUUCCUUGUAAGCAAGAAAAACGUACUGUAGAUUCAUCUACCAAUGUCCACGAUGAAAAG